rnacentral:misc_RNA from 1 species
AGAACACCAUAAUUAACAGUAAGCCCAUGGCAUCAAGGCACCCCAAUCCUACAUCACCGUGAGGGGAAUCUAGAGGUUGCAAACAUCAAAAGAUUCGUAGGGUGUCCCUCUUUUUUCCGAUCACUGAACGACACAAGACCCUUACCAUAAGCUGCAAGACUGGCUGCGUCUCUAUAAUUCUCGUCAGAACUCGUGUGUUCUCCAUGUGAAUUAAAUCAUCAGAACAAAGUUGAUGUGUUCUCAAUCAGUCAAAAUUCUAUAUAUAAGAGAUGCCCAACUUUUCGAUUUUUA